AUAUCUCUCCCUCUGAGUAUUGUUAGCCUCACCCAAUUGAACAUUUUUUGACUUAAAAUUAAAUUCAAUGACAUUUCCAUCAUUUGGCAAUAUUUUACUACUGUUCAUAGGGCCUAUCACAGGAGACGAGGUGAGCAACUCGCCUCGCCUGCAGUUACUGACGAGGUGAGCAAAAUGUUGUAAAUGUGGUAACGCGAGUGAAACUUGACUAGUGACAGCUGAGUCACAAACGAAUCGAGCAAUUUCGCAGACGAGCUACUCGUCCGAUAUUCAGCUGACUCGCCAUCUGUAAUACCAAAAUAUGUCAGGCGAGUUACUCGCCGCUCGCUUUUAUAUUUCAUCUGACUGCAAAUGCCUGGACAAAAUCACCUCGUAUUGCUACGAAAAGAGAAACGACUAGUUCUUGGGUAUUUAUUUAGAAGAAAGUUUAUCUCUCAAUCCAACAACUAGCUUAUUCACAAAAUGAACAGUUGCAGUUAUAGCAGUAAAGAAUGUAAAAGUAGAAAAUUGCUUUCAAGGCUUUAGUUUUUCGAAAACGAAACGAACUUACGAAAAUAAAAAUAUUUUCAGGAACUCUAAUAAAAGUAUGAAAAAAUU